rnacentral:rRNA from 1 species
AGGACGAACGCUGGCGGCGUGCUUAACACAUGCAAGUCGAGCGGAAAGGCCCUUCGGGGUACUCGAGCGGCGAACGGGUGAGUAACACGUGAGCAACCUGCCCUUAGCUCCGGGAUAGCUCCGGGAAACCGGAAUUAAUACCGGAUACGACCACGGCCGACAUCUGCUGUGGUGGAAAGGAUUCCGGCUAAGGAUGGGCUCGCGGCCUAUUAGCUAGUUGGUGGAGUAACGGCCCACCAAGGCGACGACGGGUAGCCGGCCUGAGAGGGCGACCGGCCACACUGGGACUGAGACACGGCCCAGACUCCUACGGGAGGCAGCAGUGGGGAAUAUUGCGCAAUGGGCGAAAGCCUGACGCAGCGACGCCGCGUGGGGGAUGAAGGCCUUCGGGUUGUAAACCCUUUCAGCAGGGACGAAGCGAAAGUGACGGUACCUGCAGAAGAAGCGCCGGCUAACUACGUGCCAGCAGCCGC